CCCAGGUUGGAUCUUCUGAACCUGGAAUCCUCCACCUUCAACACCACCAGACAGGUGGAGGAAGAUAAGAGAACCCAGUUGACAAAAAAUCUUUUCAUAACAGCAGAGCUUUGAUGAGCUUUGUGUUGAUGGAAGGAGGAUCAGGAAUAGAGCAGAGGACCUGCUGAUCUACUGGUUCUAGUAGAUUUUAUAAAUGCAUGACUGAAACAAGUCAACAGCACUGGACCAAUGAGAAGAGAGAAGACACAGAGGACUGAGGAGACAGAAAAUCCUGCUGGAAAUCCAGAGAAGUUUCCUGAUGCGUCAGGGGGACAGCUGAGGACGGGACACAGAAUAAAGAGACAGAGAUCAUGUGAAGUGGAUCCUGAUCAGCCUGGAAUCCUCCACCUUCAACACUGUCAGUCAGGUGGAGGAAGAUAAGAGAACCCAGUUGACGAAAAAAGUAAGAAUAUUUCUAUCUACAAAACAUAACUAAACAUUUCAGAUGGAACUGCAUAGAGUUGAGCUGAAAGUUACAAACUGGUUCUGUCUGCUGUCCAUGAUUAUUUUCCUCUUUAACUCUGUUGUCUUUUCUCUUUAUUUCAUUUCUCUGUCAACUCAUGUCACAUGACUUGAGUUGACCAA